UACGUAGGGAGCAAGCGUUGUCCGGAAUCAUUGGGCGUAAAGAGCGCGUAGGCGGUCCGGUAAGUCGGUUGUGAAAACUGGGGGCUCAACCCUCAGAGGCCGACCGAUACUGCCGGGCUAGAGUCCGGAAGAGGCGAGUGGAAUUCCUGGUGUAGCGGUGAAAUGCGCAGAUAUCAGGAGGAACACCAAUGGCGAAGGCAGCUCGCUGGGACGGUACUGACGCUGAGACGCGAAAGCGUGGGGAGCGAACAGG
rnacentral:rRNA from 1 species